rnacentral:rRNA from 1 species
AGAGUUGAUCCUGGCUUAAGAUGAACGCUAGCGGCAGGCUUAACACAUGCAAGGUCGAGGGGCAGCGGGAUGUAGCAAUACAUUGCCGGCGACCGGCGGAUGGGUGCGUAACGCGUAUGCAACCUACCUAUACAGGGGAAUAACCUUUCGAAAGGGAGACUAACACCCCAUAGUAUUGAUUUAAGGCAUCUUAGAUUAAUUAAAUAUUUAUAGGUAUAAGAUGGGCAUGCGUAUGAUUAGCUAGUUGGUAAGGUAACGGCUUACCAAGGCGACGAUCAUUAGGGGUUCUGAGAGGAAGGUCCCCCCACACUGGUGCUGAGACACGGACCAGACUCCUACGGGAGGCAGCAGUGAGGAAUAUUGGUCAAUGGGCGCAAGCCUGAACCAGCCAUGCCGCGUGCAGGAAAGACGGCCUUAUGGGUUGUAAACUGCUUUUACAUAAGACUAACCGUAUAUUUGCGAAUAUACCUGAAUGUAUUAUGAGAAUAAGGAUCGGCUAACUCCGUGCCAGCAGCCGC